CAGAGGGUGCGAGCGUUAAUCGGAAUUACUGGGCGUAAAGCGUGCGUAGACGGUUAUUUAAGUCGGGUGUGAAAGCCCCGGGCUCAACCUGGGAAUUGCACUCGAGACUGAAUAGCUAGGGUACGGUAGAGGGAAGCGGAAUUUCCGGUGUAGCGGUGAAAUGCGUAGAUAUCGGAAGGAACAUCAGUGGCGAAAGCGGCUUCCUGGACCAGUACCGACGUUCAGGCACGAAAGCGUGGGGAGCAAACAGGAUUAGAUACCCUGGUAGUCCACGCCAUAAACGAUGAGGACUAGACGUUGGAGGGGUAAGCCUUUCAGUGUCGUAGCUAACGCGCUAAGUCCUCCGCCUGGGGAGUACGGCCGCAAGGUUG
rnacentral:rRNA from 1 species